GGAGAGGUGUCCGAGAGGCCGAAGGAGCGCGCCUGCUAAGCGUGUGUUUGUCGUAAGAUGGACCGAGGGUUCGAAUCCCUCCCUCUCCGCCA
rnacentral:tRNA from 1 species